rnacentral:rRNA from 1 species
CCUACGGGAGGCAGCAGUGGGGAAUAUUGCACAAUGGGCGAAAGCCUGAUGCAGCGACGCCGCGUGAGGGAUGACGGCCUUCGGGUUGUAAACCUCUUUCAGCAGGGAAGAAGCGAGAGUGACGGUACCUGCAGAAGAAGCGCCGGCUAACUACGUGCCAGCAGCCGCGGUAAUACGUAGGGCGCAAGCGUUGUCCGGAAUUAUUGGGCGUAAAGAGCUCGUAGGCGGCUUGUUGCGUCGGUUGUGAAAGCCCGGGGCUUAACCCCGGGUCUGCAGUCGAUACGGGCAGGCUAGAGUGUGGUAGGGGAGAUCGGAAUUCCUGGUGUAGCGGUGAAAUGCGCAGAUAUCAGGAGGAACACCGGUGGCGAAGGCGGAUCUCUGGGCCAUUACUGACGCUGAGGAGCGAAAGCGUGGGGAGCGAACAGGAUUAGAUACCCUGGUAGUCCACGCCGUAAACGUGUAGGUAAGUGUGUCGGACGACCACACCUACGUCGGUCGGUCGCCGCGACGACGUACGUACUAACGUUACCGUUCCCGUCCGGUCGGGUACGGGACCGGACCGACGAACGUAAACGUAAACCUAACAAGUAAGUAGUAGGACGUCGUAGAGACGCGACCGACGACGACGACGGAGGGAGGAG